AACCUGGUUGAUCCUGCCAGUAGUCAUACGCUUGUCUCAAAGAUUAAGCCAUGCAUGUCUAAGUAUAAACAAUUUUGUACUGUGAAACUGCGAAUGGCUCAUUAUAUCAGUUAUAGUCUACUCGAUAGUACCUUACUACUUGGAUACCCGUAGUAAUUCUAGAGCUAAUACAUGCAACAAUACCCAACUGCUUGUCGGGCGGGUAGCA
rnacentral:ncRNA from 1 species